AAGUCGUAACAAGGUAACCGUAGGUGAACCUGCGGUUGGAUCAUUACUGAAAUGAUGAGGAACGUUAGGCUUGUUCUCUCUUUUGAGAACUUGCCCAUCGUUUCUUGCACCUCGCUGUGCAAACACCUUAUUGUGCAAUGUACAUGUACGCUGGUGGGUGGCUGCUCUUACUUUAUUGUGAGUAGUCGCCAAGUCCCUUGUCAACUGCUGGCAUUCAUUCGUGAGUGUUCAUGUUAGGAGGCAUGGAAAAAGACAGCCCACCGGCCAAUGUUUAUACCUUCGUUAUUUUAUUUAAUUUGUCUGAAACAAAAGCAUUUGUAGUAAUAUACAAAAACAACUUUUGGCAACGGAUCUCUUGGUUCUC
rnacentral:misc_RNA from 1 species